GCGUCUCUCUGGCUUCCCCCCUUCUUUCUGUAAAAAGGGCUUUAGAGAUGAUCUUUCCAUAUCAUUCCUAUCUUAGCUUCCUAUUCUACCUCCUCUUUUCUUACUGAUUUUUUCUUCUUCAAUGAUCAUGAGCAGCUGCGACAGUUUCAGCGAAUGGGUGCCUUUGUACCGAGCUCGUCCUGCUCCUUCUCGGCAAAAUCAGGUGUCAAGGCAUGAAUGUGUCUUCUUUGGCCGACCUCUAACUGACUGAUCUUCUUCCUCAGAUCACAUUGCACCGACUACACCUAGUGAUAGGUCAGGCCGCUUUGUCGCAGCAAAGCCUAGCGAACUUCCCUUGGAAGAAAAUGUCGGUUGUGGCUGCACACACUACAAGAAAUUUGAGUAUUGGUACCAUAUGAGGGUAGCACGAAUUCACUAACUGCUACUAAAAGUGUCAUAAUUGGAUAUCAACUCUAUUGUAGCAUUAUUUUUGUACUGUGAAAAAUUUUACUUUAAGCGGAAACAAAAAAUAGCAACUAUAGCUAAAAAUUCAUUUUGGAGGUAAAACACUUAGCCCAAUUUUUUGUUUUUCAUAAUAAAAAAAAAGGAAAAAGAAAGCCUUUUGCAUAAAGUCUUAAACCUUCUAUUUUCUCUCCUUUAUUCUCUUAUCAGCUCUCUCUUUGGAGAUUCGAUUAGGGUUUUUCUUAUUCUUCUGGAGAUAGAAUGAUAUUUUGAUUUAGAGCAAAAAUCUAAUGUGUUUGGAGCUAGAUCCGGCGGCAGAUUUGGAUAGGUUGUUUUUUCCGUUUAUGAAUCUGCUUGGAGGAUUUGGAGCUAGAUCCGGCGGCGGUGGACCUUUCAGGAACCAAUAGGGCUAUUGCUUCAUCUAUCUCGGCGAAGAAAAUCACCGACGUCGCUUCCGCUUCCCUCCGAUUCAGAUUCUUGAUCUGAGACUGAUUUUGAUGGCUUCUUACAUGGCCUUCACGCCUUCUUCUUCACUCUCUCUCAUGUAUAAAGAGGCUGGAGCUGGAGAAGAAAAAGUCGAGGGAGACAUUAUCAUUGGUGUAUUGUGUCAAGAGUAUGUGGCCUAACAUAGAUGCUCAUAGCAGAGUGCUGCUGAACUAUUAUGGUCUAACCGAAGCAAAGUACAAAAUGCAUCGUUAUCACUUCAGUGUAACUAACCUUGGACCUUGUUUUGCUGAAUCUUAGUUAUAAUAGAGUGACGUUUCUUUCAAAUAUAGAUACUACAUCUUGCUUUUUGAUGUCUCAAGCUGCUUGUGUGGUGGCAAUUGUUAUUAGUCUCUGCACAUACGUUAUGACUCUAUGAAGAUACAUUACAGCAGCAUUACUAAAAUGAUAUAAAACAGUAUUUUACAACAAUAAAAAAGGCCAUGAAAAACUACAUCAUAACACAAAUCAAAUGUUAUAAAAGAUUAUUUUUUAACAGACGAUUAGUUCUGUAAUAGAACUACAGAAAACUAAUUUCUCAUGUUCUAGCGUUUAUGGAAACGUUACCAAAGCCCUACUAUAGUAGUGUUUUUAGUGUGCUACUAAUGCCCAUAUUUC